GACGGAGGAUGCAAGCGUUAUCCGGAAUUAUUGGGCGUAAAGCGUCCGCAGGUGGCUGUCCAAGUCUGCUGUCAAAGCGCAGAGCUUAACUCUGUACAGGCGGUGGAAACUGAAGAGCUAGAGUAUGGUAGGGGUAGAGGGAAUUCCCGGUGUAGCGGUGAAAUGCGUAGAUAUCGGGAAGAACACCAGUGGCGAAAGCGCUUUACUGGGCCAUAACUGACACUGAGGGACGAAAGCUAGGGGAGCGAAAGGG
rnacentral:rRNA from 1 species